rnacentral:rRNA from 1 species
UGGGGAAUAUUGGACAAUGGGGGCAACCCUGAUCCAGCCAUGCCGCGUGUGUGAAGAAGGCCUUUUGGUUGUAAAGCACUUUAAGCAGUGAAGAAGACUCCAUGGUUAAUACCCAUGGACGAUGACAUUAGCUGCAGAAUAAGCACCGGCUAACUCUGUGCCAGCAGCCGCGGUAAUACAGAGGGUGCAAGCGUUAAUCGGAAUUACUGGGCGUAAAGCGAGCGUAGGUGGCUUGAUAAGUCAGAUGUGAAAGCCCCGGGCUUAGCCUGGGAACGGCAUCUGAUACUGUUAGGCUAGAGUAGGUGAGAGGAAGGUAUAAUUCCAGGUGUAGCGGUGGAAUGCGUAGAGAUCUGGAGGAAUACCGAUGGCGAAGGCAGCCUUCUGGCAUCAUACUGACACUGAGGUUCGAUAGCGUGGGUAGCAAACA